AUUGAGCGCUGGCGGCAUGCCUUACACACGCAAGUCGAACGGCAGCACGGGAGCAAUCCUGGUGGCGAGUGGCGAACGGGUGAGUAAUACAUCGGAACGUGCCCUGUAGUGGGGGAUAACUAGUCGAAAGACUAGCUAAUACCGCAUACGACCUGAGGGUGAAAGUGGGGGACCGCAAGGCCUCAUGCUAUAGGAGCGGCCGAUGUCUGAUUAGCUAGCUGGUGGGGUAAAGGCCUACCAAGGCGACGAUCAGUAGCGGGUCUGAGAGGCCGAUCAGCCACACUGGUACUGGGACACGGCCCAGACACCUACGGGAGGCAUCAGUGGGGAAUUUGAGACUAUGGGGGCAGCCCUGAUCCAGCAAUGCCGCGUGUGUGAAGAAGGCCUUCUUGUUGUAAAGCACUUUUGUCCGGAAAGAAAUCUCUUCGGUUAAUACCUGGAGUGGAUGACGGUACCGGAAGAAUAAGGACCGGUUAACUACGUGCCAGCAGCCGCCGUAACAC
rnacentral:rRNA from 1 species